rnacentral:rRNA from 1 species
CCUACGGGAGGCAGCAGUGAGGAAUAUUGGUCAAUGGGCGGAAGCCUGAACCAGCCAAGUCGCGUGAGGGAUUAAGGCCCUGCGGGUCGUAAACCUCUUUUGCCGGGGAGCAGAGGUCCGGACGUGUCCGGGCCGGGAGAGUACCCGGAGAAAAAGCAUCGGCUAACUCCGUGCCAGCAGCCGCGGUAAUACGGAGGAUGCGAGCGUCAUCCGGAUUUAUUGGGUUAAAAGGGUGCGUAGGCGGGCAUUUAAGCCGGCGGUCAAAUGUCGGGGCUCAACCCCGGCCUGCCGUCGGAACUGGGUGCCUUGAGUGGGCGAGAAGUAUGCGGAAUGCGUGGUGUAGCGGUGAAAUGCAUAGCUAUCACGCAGAACCCCGAUUGCGAAGGCAGCAUACCGGCGCCCUACUGACGCUGGGGCACGAAAGUGCGGGUAUCGAACAGGAUUAGAUACCCUGGUAGUC